GAUGAACGCUGGCGGCAUGCCUAAUACAUGCAAGUCGAACGAGAGGAUGGAAAGCUUGCUUUUCUGAAUCUAGUGGCGAACGGGUGAGUAACACGUAGGUAACCUGCCCAUGUGCCCGGGAUAACUUCUGGAAACGGAUGCUAAAACCGGAUAGGUAGCAGACAAGCAUUUGACUGCUAUUAAAGUGGCUAAGGCCAUGAACAUGGAUGGACCUGCGGUGCAUUAGCUAGUUGGUGAGGUAACGGCCCACCAAGGCGACGAUGCAUAGCCGGCCUGAGAGGGCGGACGGCCACAUUGGGACUGAGACACGGCCCAAACUCCUACGGGAGGCAGCAGUAGGGAAUUUUCGUCAAUGGGGGGAACCUUGAACGAGCAAUGCCGCGUGAGUGAGGAAGGUCUUCGGAUCGUAAAGCUCUGUUGUAAGAGAAAAACGACAUUCAUAGGGAAUGAUGAGUGAGUGAUGGUAUCUUACCAGAAAGUCACGGCUAACUACGUGCCAGCAGCCGCGGUAA
rnacentral:rRNA from 1 species